rnacentral:rRNA from 1 species
AUUGAACGCUGGCGGCAGGCCUAACACAUGCAAGUCGGACGGUAGCACAGAGGAGCUUGCUCCUCGGGUGACGAGUGGCGGACGGGUGAGUAAUGUCUGGGGAUCUGCCCGAUAGAGGGGGAUAACCACUGGAAACGGUGGCUAAUACCGCAUAACGUCGCAAGACCAAAGAGGGGGACCUUCGGGCCUCUCACUAUCGGAUGAACCCAGAUGGGAUUAGCUAGUAGGCGGGGUAAUGGCCCACCUAGCCGACGCUCCCUAGCUGGUCUGAGAGGAUGACCAGCCACACUGGAACUGAGACACGGUCCAGACUCCUACGGGAGGCAGCAGUGGGGAAUAUUGCACAAUGGGCGCAAGCCUGAUGCAGCCAUGCCGCGUGUAUGAAGAAGGCCUUCGGGUUGUAAAGUACUUUCAGCGGGGAGGAAGGCGGUGAGGUUAAUAACCUUGCCGAUUGACGUUACCCGCAGAAGAAGCACCGGCUAACUCCGUGCCAGCCGCCGCGGUAA